CCUACGGGAGGCUGCAGUGGGGAAUAUUGCGCAAUGGGCGAAAGCCUGACGCAGCGACGCCGCGUGAGGGAUGAAGGUCUUCGGAUCGUAAACCUCUGUCAGCAGGGAAGAACGGUCACUGUGCUAAUCAGCAGUGAAUUGACGGUACCUGAAAAGGAAGCACCGGCUAACUCCGUGCCAGCAGCCGCGGUAAUACGGAGGGUGCGAGCGUUAAUCGGAAUUACUGGGCGUAAAGCGCUCGUAGGCGGUAUGGCAAGUCAAGGGUGAAAUCCCCGGGCUCAACCUGGGAACUGCCUUUGAAACUGGCAGACUGGAGUGUGUGAGAGGAUAGUGGAAUGCCAGGUGUAGGAGUGACAUCCGUAGAUAUCUGGAGGAACAUCAGUGGCGAAGGCGACUAUCUGGCACAUAACUGACGCUGAGGAGCGAAAGCGUGGGUAGCAAACAGGAUUAGAUACCCGUGUAGUC
rnacentral:rRNA from 1 species